rnacentral:SRP_RNA from 1 species
GCCAGGUGUGGUGGUGCAUGCCUGUAAUCCCAGCUACUUGGGAGGCUGAGGCAGGAGGAUUGCUUGAACCCAGGAAGCAGAGGUUGCAGUGAGCUGAGAUCGUGCCACUGCACUCCAGCCUGGGCGACAGAGUGAGACUCUGUCUCAA